rnacentral:rRNA from 1 species
GAUGAACGCUAGCGGCAGGCCUAAUACAUGCAAGACGAACGGUAAGUUGAGUAGCAAUACUUAGCCAAGAGUGUCGUACGGGUGCGUAACACGUAUGCAACCUACCCUAUACAGGAGGAUAGCCUAGGGAAACCUGGAUUAACCCUUCAUAGUAUUAUUGGAUGGCAUCAUUUGAUAAUUAAAACUGAGGUGGUAUAGGAUGGGCAUGCGUCUGAUUAGUUAGUUGGCGGGGUAAUGGCCCACCAAGACGAUGAUCAGUAGGGGUUCUGAGAGGAGAUCCCCACACUGGCACUGAGAUACGGGCCAGACUCCUACGGGAGGCAGCAGUAGGGAAUAUUGGUCAAUGGAUGCAAGUCUGAACCAGCCAUGCCGCGUGCAGGAAGAAGG